AUUGAACGCUGGCGGCAGGCCUAACACAUGCAAGUCGAGCGGAGCGGCGGACGGGUGAGUAAUACCCAGGAAUCUGCCUGGUAGUGGUGGCUAACGUCCGGGAACGGGCGCUAAUACCGCAUACUAUCAGAUGAGCCUCGGUCGGAUUUGCUAGUUGGUGGGGUAAAGGCCUACCAAGGCGACUAUCCGUAACUGGUCUGAGAGGAUGAUCAGUCACACGGGAACUGAGACACGGUCCAGACUCCUACGGGAGGCAGCAGUGGGGAAUAUUGCACAAGUGGCGCAAGCCUGAUGCAGCCAUGCCGCGUGUGUGAAGAAGGCCUUCGGGUUGUAAAGCACUUUCAGCGGGGAGGCGUUACCCUAAGAAGAAGCACCGGCUAACUCCGUGCCAGCCGCCGCGGUAAUAC
rnacentral:rRNA from 1 species